rnacentral:rRNA from 1 species
CGUUGGCAGUGGACGAUUUACACAUGCAAGUCGAACGAAGUUAGAGAGAGCUUGCUUUUUCUAACUUAGUGGCGAACGGGUGAGUAACGCGUGAGGAACCUGCCUCAAAGAGGGGGACAACAGUUGGAAACGACUGCUAAUACCGCAUAAGCCCACAGCUCCGCAUGGAGCAGGGGGAAAAGGAGCAAUCCGCUUUGAGAUGGCCUCGCGUCCGAUUAGCUAGUUGGUGAGGUAACGGCCCACCAAGGCGACGAUCGGUAGCCGGACUGAGAGGUUGAUCGGCCACAUUGGGACUGAGACACGGCCCAGACUCCUACGGGAGGCAGCAGUGGGGAAUAUUGCACAAUGGGGGAAACCCUGAUGCAGCGACGCCGCGUGGAGGAAGAAGGUCUUCGGAUUGUAAACUCCUGUUGUUGGGGAAGAUAAUGACGGUACCUAACAAGGAAGUGACGGCUAACUACGUGCCAGCAGCCGCGGUAAAACGUAGGUCACAAGCGUUGUCCGG